ACUGAGCGCCGGCAGCCAGGAAGGCCCUUGUCAGCGCGAUGACCCCAUCGGCUGUGACUUUGCUGUUGGACUCCUGGGAGGAGCCAAGCACCACCAGCUUCACAGGCAGCUGCAGGUCCAGGACGUCGGCGGCGGUGCCUAACUUACUGAGAAUCAUGCCUGCUGUGAUGCGCCCUUGAAAAUCAUCAGGACUGGAUGGUAGGGGUCCUGAGAGGAUUGGGGGAGGAGGCCCUGAUAUGACAGAGUGGACAGAGGCUGUGGAACCCAGGAUGGCCAGCCUGCUCCACAAUCCUCAUCCCUACAGACCUUCCUGUGUGGCUCCUAAAUAAGAGGAAACCCACUCCUGAUAAGUCAGGAGCUUUGAAGAGUGAUUUUGUUUAAAUGGUGCAAACAAGCAAGCCAAUCUUGGGGAGACAGGGCUAAACUAAGUCCUUUAAGAAGCUCUACAUACUGACAAGAUUCUAGUUCCCUUCCACCUUAUAUGCUGCAAAGUAAAAAGUA